GGCCUGUCACCUCAUCACCAACACCAACCAGCCUUGUUAAACGCAAUGCAGACUGCACAGCUCCAACACCAGACUCUGCAGAACACAGUGUGGGAGCCACACUACAGAGACUGGGCACAGGGAAAUGGAGAGAAAUCAGCAGCUGACGUGGUUUCUGAGACUCUACAAAUAGAAGCAAUAAUAGGAUGGAUCAAAACAUUGAGCUUUGGGAAUAGACCAUGAACCACAAAGGACGGAGACGAUGCAGUCGCUGGCCACACACGUUCACCCCGUUAUGGUGGGAUUAUAACUUUUAAUAAAACAGCUCCUCCUAAAAGCUUGACAAAAGCCGUGUUCCCAAUGGGAUAACAGUGUGUAGAUCUGGUCAUGGGGCCCUCUAGUGCAAGUUCAAUACUAAAUUGUCUUUCCUCAUGGAUCCUGACCUCUGACCUUCUGGAGCUAUUUCCCAUGGCUCUCUCUGUCUGGACUCCACUCGCUGCCUUUUGCAUUCCAUGUGUCACCAGUGCUCUCAGUCAAACAUGAGGCACCCGAGACUCCACACCUGUUGUUUUGAGCAAGCGACAGAAUGUCCCUCAGUGUUGCAACGGGGAACUGUUACUGUAUGUAUUUAUGAAGUUUCCAUUUGUAAUGAGAGUAAGAAUACAAACCACUUAAAAGUGUUCCAUGCUAUUCAUAGCUUUGUCACUUGUUGCAUUUACAACUGCUGCCAAGGGUGAAAGGACAAUUUUUGGCCUUGAUUCACAUCAACAAGUGCAAGUGUUUUUCUUUUGUGUACAUUUAUUACAAGAACUAUUUAUGUACAGUCUUGAGGUACUUGUAUUUGACUUGAGUAUUUCCAUCCAUCCUUAAUACUUCAACUACUCCACUACAUUUCAGAGGCAAAUGUUAUUGUACUAUUUAUUCUAUUGCAUUUAUUUGACAACUAGUGAAAGUACUUGAUAUUCAAAUUA